AUUGAACGCUGGCGGAAUGCUUUACACAUGCAAGUCGAACGGCAGCACGGACUUCGGUCUGGUGGCGAGUGGCGAACGGGUGAGUAACAUAUCGGAACGUAUCCAAUAAUGGGGGAUAACUAAUCGAAAGGUUGGCUAAUACCGCAUACGCCCUAUGGGGGAAAGCUAGGGACCUUCGGGCCUGGCGUUAAUGGAGCGGCCGAUAUCUGAUUAGCUAGGUGGGGGGGCAAAGGCCCACCAAGGCGACGAUCAGUAGCUGGUCUGAGAGGACGACCCGCCACACUGGAACUGAGACACGGUCCAGACUCCUACGGGAGGCAGCAGUGGGGAAUUUUGGACAAUGGGCGCAAGCCUGAUCCAGCCAUUCCGCGUGAGUGAAGAAGGCCUUCGGGUUGUAAAGCUCUUUCGCAAGGGAAGAAAACUUAGCCACUAACAUUGGCUGAGGUUGACGGUACCUUGAUAAGAAGCACCGGCUAACUACGUGCCAGCAGCCGCCGUAA
rnacentral:rRNA from 1 species